UACGUAGGGUGCAAGCGUUGUCCGGAAUUACUGGGCGUAGAGAGCUCGUAGGUGGUUUGUCGCGUUGUCCGUGAAAACUCACAACUCAAUUGUGGGCGUGCGGGCGAUACGGGCAGACUGGAGUACUGCAGGGGAGACUGGAAUUCCUGGUGUAGCGGUGGAAUGCGCAGAUAUCAGGAGGAACACCGGUGGCGAAGGCGGGUCUCUGGGCAGUAACUGACGCUGAGGAGCGAAAGCGUGGGGAGCGAACAGG
rnacentral:rRNA from 1 species